AUUGAACGCUGGCGGCAGGCUUAACACAUGCAAGUCGAGCGAGCGGCGGACGGGUGAGUAAUGUCUGGGAAACUGCCUGAUGGUGGGGGAUAACUACUGGAAACGGUAGCUAAUACCGCAUACCAUCAGAUGUGCCCAGAUGGGAUUAGCUAGUAGGUGGGGUAAUGGCUCACCUAGGCGACGAUCCCUAGCUGGUCUGAGAGGAUGACGAGCCACACGGGAACUAAGACACGGUCCAGACGCCUACGAGAGGCAGCAGUGGGGAAUAUGGCACAAUGGGCGCAAGCCGGAUGCAGCCAUGCCGCGUGUGUGAAGAAGGCGUUCGGGUUGUAAAGCACUUUAAGCGAGGAGGCGUUACUCGCAGAAGAAGCACCGGCUAACUCCGUGCCAGCAGCCGCGGUAAUUC
rnacentral:rRNA from 1 species